GAUGAACGCUGGCGGCGUGCUUAACACAUGCAAGUCGAACGGUGAAGGCGGAGCUUGCUCUGCUGGAUCAGUGGCGAACGGGUGAGUAACACGUGAGCAAUCUGCCCCUGACUCUGGGAUAAGCGCUGGAAACGGCGUCUAAUACUGGAUACGAGCUGCGAAGGCAUCUUCAGCAGCUGGAAAGAACUUCGGUCAGGGAUGAGCUCGCGGCCUAUCAGCUUGUUGGUGAGGUAACGGCUCACCAAGGCGUCGACGGGUAGCCGGCCUGAGAGGGUGACCGGCCACCCUGGGACUGAGACACGGCCCAGACUCCUACGGGAGGCAGCAGUGGGGAAUAUUGCACAAUGGGCGAAAGCCUGAUGCAGCAACGCCGCGUGAGGGACGACGGCCUUCGGGUUGUAAACCUCUUUUAGCAGGGAAGAAGCGAAAGUGACGGUACCUGCAGAAAAAGCGCCGGCUAACUACGUG
rnacentral:rRNA from 1 species